rnacentral:rRNA from 1 species
GCGUCUGAUUUGAUGCUUGCAUUAAUGAAAGAUGAGCGGCGGACGGGUGAGUAACGCGUGGGUAACCUGCCCUAUACACAUGGAUAACAUACUGAAAAGUUUACUAAUACCAUGCAUCACUAUCAUAUUUACGGCAUCGUAGAUAUAUCAAAGUGUUACGGUAUAGGAUGGACCCGCGUCUGAUUAGCUAGUUGGUGAGAUAACUGCCCACCAAGGCGACGAUCAGUAGCCGACCUGAGAGGGUGAUCGGCCACAUUGGAACUGAGACACGGUCCAAACUCCUACGGGAGGCAGCAGUGGGGAAUAUUGCACAAUGGGCGCAAGCCUGAUGCAGCAACGCCGCGUGAACGAUGAAGGUCUUCGGAUCGUAAAGUUCUGUUGCAGGGGAAGAUAAUGACGGUACCCUGUGAGGAAGCCCCGGCUAACUACGUGCCAGCAGCCGCGGUAAUACGUAGGGGGCUAGCGUUAUCCGGAUUUACUGGGCGUAAAGGGUGCGUAGGUGGUCUUUCAAGUCGGUGGUUAAAGGCUACGGCUCAACCGUAGUUAGCCUCCGAAACUGGAAGACUUGAGUGCAGGAGAGGAAAGUGGAAUUCCCAGUGUAGCGGUGAAAUGCGUAGAUAUUGGGAGGAACACCAGUAGCGAAGGCGGCUUUCUGGACUGCAACUGACACUGAGGCACGAAAGCGUGGGUAGCAAACAGGAUUAGAUACCCUGGUAGUCCACGCUGUAAACGGUGAGUACUAGGUGUCGGGGGUUACCCCCCUCGGUGCCGCAGCUAACGCAUUAAGUACUCCGCCUGGGGAGUACGCACGCAAGUGUG